UUCAAACUAAUUUAAAUAAAUUAAUUAAAAAAAAAGGUUAGCUUAACCAAUAGUUUCAAACCAUACUUAUACUUUACAUUAUGUUUGUUUAUAAAAUAGAUCAAUUUGACCCCAAAUUCUAGAAAACAGGGAUGGCGACUUGGUGUGAUAAAGCACAGAAAUGGCAAUUCCCAGUCAGCCAAGCAAUCUGAAACAGCAAUCACCUGACGCCAAGAUGGAAGGGGAACCAGCUCAUGAUUAUGGACUUUGGUGGUGUUUUCUUCGUUCGGUAACUUCUGGUCCUUGUUCUGUUAAGGAGCUAUUGACAAUUCUGCAUGGAAGCUUCCUGAGGGGAGGUGUGAAGAAGCUUCGAAAGGUCGUCCCGUACUCUGUUUGAUACGGUGGCGUGAUAAGACGCGUUGAAUAUAUUCAGUAUUCUGGGUCAAAUGCUGUUUUGGAUUGUAAAUUUAGCUACUAGUUUGAUUUCUAAGAUGGUCCGAGAUGUUGAUUUUUGCUGCCUUUCGUGCAUUCCGUAUUUUUGCUUGGUAGGUGAUUGUGAGGCAAUUUAGUUUUGCCUUAAAAAAAUAUAUAAAAAUAAAAUGAGUGAAACAGUAAUAAUUUAUAGAGCAUGAAGAUGGACCUGAUUUAUCAUUUAUGCUUAUAUGCAGAUGCAGCAAUAAUGAUAUCCAAGAAAUUCUCAAGUAAGUUUAAAGCUCAGAGCAGUGAAAGUCAUAUCUCCUGAUUUUGGAUCCCCAUUUGAGGAACUACAAAAAGAAAAGAUAUAAGGAUGUGACACUUUUGACAUCGGGAGAAGCUUAAGCAAGGGGAUGUUAGUGCAUCAAGGAAAUCACACCUAGUAUGAGGGUUGCAAAACAUUUGACACAUGGCACAAGCCAAGUGAUUUUCUACUAUGAUGGAAUCAGUAGAAUGCAAUGGUACAAUAAGAACAAAAAAAUGUGGCAUAAACAAGAGAGUGGGCUCUUGAGCAUGGUACAGGUCGUAUGAGCAAAAGCAAACAAUGUAACUAUUGUGAAAUCUAACAAAAGCAGGACUAUGGAAUGCAAUUGUAAUGUGUUUACACUGCAGCAUGAGCUGACCCACUACCUAAAAUGUGGUUUGUGUUAGUGGGUUGAUUCCUAGAACAUGAGUGUAAUUAUUGCCUUCAUGUAAUGUGUUUUAUCAAGCCUUUCCACUAGCGAAAGUUGUGAAGUCUUAUUCAGAAAAGACCUUGGUAAUUUUCUUGUAAUUGCUUGAGAGUUAAUGCAAGUUGGGGGGUUUUCCCUACAAAGAGUUGUAUUGUUUGCGUGUUGUUGCUUGUGUCUCAUGUGGAGCUUGCAAAGAGUUGAGGGCCUCUAAGCGCCACACAACACGAAAAAUUGAAGGUAAAUUUCAUGCUUGUGACAACUUCCAACCUCAUGCCUUAGAAGUCAUCCUACAAACAAUAUUCAUAAUAAUAGCUAACAAGUUUAAUUUGAGCUCUACUUUCUCUAACAAAAGAAAAGAUAUAGAAGAGGGCUUCUUGCUUUAAAGCAUAAUGAUACCAACCCAAGUCAAGUAACGACAAAGCUUAUUAAAAAAAAUUAACAUGGUGAUAACAUCAACUCUGCACAUUUGCUUGAGGAUCACUGUUGUAGUCAGGAUGGAAAGCUAAGAUGUGUUACUUUUUUUGCUCUAUUUUUCUAGGAAGAUUCCACAGGCAUCCCUCCUUCACUGUGAACUUCAAACAGUGACUCAAUAAACUGGCCCCACAACCAUAAUUAGUAAGUGAAAAAAAAAAAGCCCUGGCUAUGAUCAAUUGCCUGCCUAUGCACAAAAAGUUUUUUAUAAUCUGCAAACAGUGAGCAGCAGGGAUGGCAUUAUGCAGACAAAGUUACUGAGUACAACCACAAACAAAAGGUUCUACAAAGAUGUUGCUUCACUAAAAAAGGCAGAAAUUCACACAGUAGAUACUAACUUCAACCACACCAAGCCUCAGCAUUUUUAGGAUCACAAACAUGGAUAUCCAGAGUUCAUGCUCUUAUUCAGUCAAUAGGACACACCCACUUAUAGUAGUCUAGUUAUUUUUAUAGGGGGCACUAAGAUAGCCUCUUUACCACUGAGUGGUGAGGAUGAACUUAGUGCCACUGAGCCAAGGAUGAAUUACCAUUCAAAGAGCAACCAAGUACUGAUGGAGCAAACUUUUGAAUUGAAACCUGUUGCAAUAACCAUAACAGCAAAUGCAACAGAGCUCUCUAUUUGGUUGCAGCAAGGAUGGGGUUUGGUGCUAGCAACCUAACACCAAGCCCACAGUCUUCCUUGCUAUUAAGCUUUGGGGUUGCAGCGGUUAUCUGCUGCUGCAACCCACUUACUGGGCAUAACCAUACCAUGUCCUCUGUCCAUCAUGUCAACAAGAGUGUCAACAGAUGCUUGAACAUUAUUGACAGGGA
rnacentral:lncRNA from 1 species